GACGAACGUUGGCGGCGUGCUUAACACAUGCAAGUCGAACGGAAAGGCCCUGCUUUUGUGGGGUGCUCGAGUGGCGAACGGGUGAGUAACACGUGAGUAACCUGCCCUUGACUUUGGGAUAACUUCAGGAAACUGGGGCUAAUACCGGAUAGGAGCUCCUGCUGCAUGGUGGGGGUUGGAAAGUUUCGGCGGUUGGGGAUGGACUCGCGGCUUAUCAGCUUGUUGGUGGGGUAGUGGCUUACCAAGGCUUUGACGGGUAGCCGGCCUGAGAGGGUGACCGGCCACAUUGGGACUGAGAUACGGCCCAGACUCCUACGGGAGGCAGCAGUGGGGAAUAUUGCACAAUGGGCGGAAGCCUGAUGCAGCAACGCCGCGUGCGGGAUGACGGCCUUCGGGUUGUAAACCGCUUUCGCCUGUGACGAAGCGUGAGUGACGGUAAUGGGUAAAGAAGCACCGGCUAACUACGUGCCAGCAGCCGCGGUGAUACGUAGGGUGCGAGCGUUGUCCGGAUUUAUUGGGCGUAAAGGGCUCGUAGGUGGUUGAUCGCGUCGGAAGUGUAAUCUUGGGGCUUAACCCUGAGCGUGCUUUCGAUACGGGUUGACUUGAGGAAGGUAGGGGAGAAUGGAAUUCCUGGUGGAGCGGUGGAAUGCGCAGAUAUCAGGAGGAACACCAGUGGCGAAGGCGGUUCUCUGGGCCUUUCCUGACGCUGAGGAGCGAAAGCGUGGGGAGCGAACAGGCUUAGAUACCCUGGUAGUCCACGCUGUAAACGGUGGGUACUAGGUGUGGGGUCCAUUCCACGGGUUCCGUGCCGUAGCUAACGCUUUAAGUACCCCGCCUGGGGAGUACGGCCGCAAGGCUAAAACUCAAAGGAAUUGACGGGGCCCCGCACAAGCGGCGGAGCAUGCGGAUUAAUUCGAUGCAACGCGUAGAACCUUACCUGGGUUUGACAUGGAUCGGGAGUGCUCAGAGAUGGGUGUGCCUCUUUUGGGGUCGGUUCACAGGUGGUGCAUGGCUGUCGUCAGCUCGUGUCGUGAGAUGUUGGGUUAAGUCCCGCAACGAGCGCAACCCUUGUUCACUGUUGCCAGCACGUUAUGGUGGGGACUCAGUGGAGACCGCCGGGGUCAACUCGGAGGAAGGUGGGGAUGACGUCAAGUCAUCAUGCCCCUUAUGUCCAGGGCUUCACGCAUGCUGCAAUGGCUGGUACAGAGAGUGGCGAGCCUGUGAGGGUGAGCGAAUCUCGGAAAGCCGGUCUCAGUUCGGAUUGGGGUCUGCAACUCGACCUCAUGAAGUCGGAGUCGCUAGUAAUCGCAGAUCAGCAACGCUGCGGUGAAUACGUUCCCGGG
rnacentral:rRNA from 1 species